UGAAGAUCAGCCAUCGCACCACCUGACCAGAGAGGGCAAGACUGAGCUCUGGAGUGACUGACCGCAAAACUGCUGUCAGGAUGUUUUCCUCAACCGUUCCUCCACUUUAGUUUUGGAGAUGGGGUUCUCUCACUGAACCCAGAGCUUGCUGUAUCAGGGGCUCCCAGGAGACAGUUGUUUCUUGAUCCCAUGACAACUGGCAGCUAUCAGCUAAGCUACGGAGAGCACACAGCUCCCGCCUCUCAAGAUCUGCGGCUCCAGAUGAACCGCCUCUGCUCACCCUGAAGUGAAUGCACCCAAUUCUGAGCCAUUUUUGAACUGGCACCAAGAUGGACAUUAAGGCUUGGAUCACACAGUACAAAAUACCGAACAUCUAUUUGGACAAAGUCAGUGUACCUGGAGGAUGCUUUUGACGGCCUGAUCAUGAACACAGCUUCUCUGUUUGCUCUUUGUCUUAUCUACCCGAGGACACAGCUCAUCUGUCACACUGUUCCCAGAAUGUCUUCCGUUGCCCCUCGAGGCCCAGCAAGAUGAACUAAGCUGGCAUGGAAAGCAGCUGUGGAGAAAGCUAAUCAUUGGACCCCACACUCAAGAAGUACUGAGAAGUAAGGUCCAAUGCUAGCUCAGAAGUGGACUUCAGUCUCCCACCAACAUGACACAAAGCCUCAAAAUCCUAGUCCUUCCCUUUGUAGGUUUUGGUGGCUUUCAUGAAGAUCAAGUGCCAUGGAUGUCAACUCCUCUUCCUGGAGUGCUAUGCCUUGGACCUCUUUCAAACAGCUUUCAGAUCAGAAAAGCCUGGAAGGUCAGGAGAGCAGGAAGCUGUGACAGA